rnacentral:lncRNA from 1 species
UUGCAUCGAUGCUCUCAAUAAGCUUUUGUCUGAAUAUUACCCUUAAGAUUGAACCGUUGCCAAUGCUUCAGUCUUCAACUAUUCAAACUCUACAUUUCUGAUGCAUGUCUUCAUGGACCUGAUCAUAGUGUCUUGUUGACAGGUAGAAGCAACACUACGAUCUUGAGGAGUGUUCACUUGAUCUUUAGUGUAGAACACCUCUUUG